rnacentral:rRNA from 1 species
UAGGGAAUAUUAGAAAUGGACGAAAGUCUGAUCUAGCAACACCGCGUGUGCGAAGAUGGCCUUCGGGUCGUAAAGCACUUUUUGGAAGGAAUAGGAAGGAAUGUACUUCCAGAAUAAGUCUCGGCUAACUACGUGCCAGCAGCCGCGGUAACACGUAGGAGGCAAACGUUAUCCGGAUUUACUGGGCGUAAAGCGCGUGUAGGUGGUACUGUAAGUAGGGCGUGAAAGCUCCUGGCUCAACUGGGAGAGGCCGUUCUAAACUACAGGACUAGAGGAUGGUAGAGGGAGGUGGAAUUCCAGGUGUAGCGGUGGAAUGCGCAGAUAUCUGGAGGAACACCGGUGGCGAAGGCGGCCUCCUGGACCAUUCCUGACGCUCAGACGCGAAAGCUAGGGUAGCAAACGG